UCUGUGAGGACGAUAGAUUUC
rnacentral:misc_RNA from 1 species